rnacentral:rRNA from 1 species
GAUGAACGCUGGCGGCGUGCCUAAUACAUGCAAGUCGAACGCAUAGCGAAAGGUGCUUGCACCUUUCAAGUGAGUGGCGAACGGGUGAGUAACACGUGGACAACCUGCCUCAAGGCUGGGGAUAACAUUUGGAAACAGAUGCUAAUACCGAAUAAAACUUAGUGUCGCAUGACACAAAGUUAAAAGGCGCUUCGGCGUCACCUAGAGAUGGAUCCGCGGUGCAUUAGUUAGUUGGUGGGGUAAAGGCCUACCAAGACAAUGAUGCAUAGCCGAGUUGGGAGACUGAUCGGCCACAUUGGGACUGAGACACGGCCCAAACUCCUACGGGAGGCUGCAGUAGGGAAUCUUCCACAAUGGGCGAAAGCCUGAUGGAGCAACGCCGCGUGUGUGAUGAAGGCUUUCGGGUCGUAAAGCACUGUUGUAUGGGAAGAACAGCUAGAAUAGGAAAUGAUUUUAGUUUGACGGUACCAUACCAGAAAGGGACGGCUAAAUACGUG